UAAAGCGUGCGCAGGCGGUUAUGUAAGACAGAUGUGAAAUCCCCGGGCUCAACCUGGGAACUGCAUUAGUGACUGCAUAGCUGGAGUACGGCAGAGGGGGAUGGAAUUCCGCGUGUAGCAGUGAAAUGCGUAGAUAUGCGGAGGAACACCGAUGGCGAAGGCAAUCCCCUGGGCCUGUACUGACGCUCAUGCACGAAAGCGUGGGGAGCAAACAGGAUUAGAUACCCUAG
rnacentral:rRNA from 1 species